GCCCAGAUGGUGGAAUUGGUAGACACGCUACUUUGAGGGGGUAGUGCCGGUAACGGUGUGCAGGUUCGAGUCCUGUUCUGGGCACCA
rnacentral:tRNA from 1 species